GACGAACGCUGGCGGCGUGCUUAACACAUGCAAGUCGAACGGAAAGGCCCUGCUUUUGUGGGGUGCUCGAGUGGCGAACGGGUGAGUAACACGUGAGUAAACUGCCCUUGGCUUUGGGAUAACUUCAGGAAACUGGGGCUAUUACCGGAUAGGAGCUCCUGCUGCAUGGUGGGGGUUGGAAAGUUUCGGCGGUUGGGGGUGGACUCGCGGCUUAUCAGCUUGUUGGUGGGGUAGUGGCUUACCAAGGUUUUGACGGGUAGCCGGCCUGAGAGGGUGACCGGCCACAAUGCGACUGAGAGACGGCCCAGACUGCUACGGGAGGCAACAGUGGAGAGUAUUGCAGAAUAGGCGGAAGCCUGAUGCAGCAGCGCCGCGUGCGGGAUAACGGCCUUCGAGUUGUAAACCGCUUUCGACUGUGACGAAGAGUGAGUGACGGUAAUGGGUAAAGAAGCACCGGCUAACUACGUG
rnacentral:rRNA from 1 species